rnacentral:ncRNA from 1 species
GACAAACCGAUGAAUAAGAAGAGUAAAAACAGCAAAAGCUGUCUGUCAGAGAGCUGCCGCAGGUGAAAGUGCAGUGUCAGUGGCUGUUUUGAAUGGACUUAUGAGGGCGGCCCGAACAAACCUUUAUUUUAGUAGGCGUCGACGGAACCUGCACCGUUAUCACAGCAGAGAAGAUUCGGAACCUUGUUCCUGAUCCUUAAAGUGGGUUUAACAAAACCAAUUUGGGUGGCACCACAGGAGAAAGCUCUUGUCCCUGUU